CAGUAGCCGCGGUAAUACGAAGGGGGCUAGCGUUGCUCGGAAUUACUGGGCGUAAAGGGAGCGUAGGCGGACAUUUAAGUCAGGGGUGAAAUCCCAGAGCUCAACUCUGGAACUGCCUUUGAUACUGGGUGUCUUGAGUGUGAUAGAGGUAUGUGGAACUCCGAGUGUAGAGGUGAAAUUCGUAGAUAUUCGGAAGAACACCAGUGGCGAAGGCGACAUACUGGAUCAUUACUGACGCUGAGACGCGAAAGCGUGGGGAGCAAACAGGAUUAGAUACCCCCGUAGUCCCUGUCUCUUAUAU
rnacentral:rRNA from 1 species